rnacentral:rRNA from 1 species
AUGAACACUAGGUGUCGGGGGAAUCGACCCCCUCGGUGUCGUAGCUAACGCGUUAAGUGUUCCGCCUGGGGAGUACGCACGCAAGUGUGAAACUCAAAGGAAUUGACGGGGGCCCGCACAAGCGGUGGAGUAUGUGGUUUAAUUCGAUGCAACGCGAAGAACCUUACCAGGGUUUGACAUCCUGCGAACCUCUUAGAAAUUUGAGGGUGCCUUCGGGAAUGCAGUGACAGGUGGUGCAUGGCUGUCGUCAGCUCGUGUCGUGAGAUGUUGGGUUAAGUCCCGCAACGAGCGCAACCCACGUUUUUAGUUGCCAGCAUUUAGUUGGGCACUCUAGAAAGACCGCCGGUGAUAAACCGGAGGAAGGUGUGGAUGACGUCAAGUCAUCAUGCCCCUUACACCCUGGGCUACACACGUACUACAAUGCUACGGACAAAGGGCAGCAAACUCGCGAGAGCUAGCAAAUCCCAUAAACCGUGGCUCAGUUCAGAUCGUAGGCUGCAACUCGCCUACGUGAAGUAGGAAUCGCUAGUAAUCGCAGGUCAGCAUACUGCGGUGAAUACGUUCCCGGGCCUUGUACACACCGCCCGUCACACCAUGGAAGUUGGCCAUGCCCGAAGUCGUUACUCCAACCCUUGUGGAGGAGGACGCCGAAGGUGGGGCUAAUGACUGGGGUGAAGUCGUAACAAGGUAGCCGUA